UCCACUCUGUACACACCGCCCGUCGCUACUACCGAUUGAGUGAUCCGGUGAAUAAUUCGGACUGACGCAGUGCUCAGCUUCUGGACGUUGUGUUGGAAAGUUUCAUGAACCUUAUCACUUAGAGGAAGGAGAAGUCGUAACAAGGUUUCCGUAGGUGAACCUGCAGAAGGAUCAAUGAUCCUUCUGCAGGUUCACUACGGAAACCUUGUUACGACUUUUACUUCCUCUAAAUGAUCAAGUUUGAACAACUUUUCGGCAGUCCGCUGCUCCGUUGCCGGGGCGGCGGCGCCAAUCAGGAGUCCUCACUAAACCAUUCAAUCGGUAGUAGC
rnacentral:misc_RNA from 1 species